GCAAUCCUUCUUUUCAUCUGAUUCUUGUCCUGGAUGCCAAGUACUGCUGGGGGACCUCGUACUGCUGUGCCAACUGGAACCAAGUCACUUUCAUGGCUCCAGCCUCAGCUGUACCCACUGUCCUGCUCAGCAAUGAGCUGCGGGGUUCUCCUGCUCUCCUGCUCCCCAAACUGUUUCCAUCUCUAGCCUGUGUUCGCUCUAGGGGGCAGGUAGAGUGACUUUUCAUCUUGGAAUCCCCCAAACUCAGCUCACUGUGUGCCAAAAAAUAUGCAUUGAAUGACAAUUGUUUUUUCGAGGGUCACACAGAUUUUGGGGAAGACCGACAGGCACAGGGGGCAGAGCCACAUGAAGGCCAGGAGCAGCCAUGGCCAGGGCGGCCGCAUGAUUGUGAGCCCCACAGCGCUGCUUUCAGGGGCUCCUUCCUCCAGUAUUAACAAUUAUAUUUUGUGACAUUAUUAGUAUAAAGACAAAUAUAGUCCAGGCUGAAUGAAAAGUUAAAACACUUUUUUAGAUUCUAAAACUUCAUUUUUUUUUCUAAUUUAAAAAAUGGAAACAUUUUCAUGCAGCCCUACAGUAUCGCAGGCCCAGAACCGCUCCCGCCGCGCCUAACGGUCAGUGGAGCCGGUCGGGGCUCGGUGUGGAGAGAGAGGACGUGUGGAGCCGGUCGGGGCUCGGUGUGGUGAGAGAGGACGUGUGGAGCCGGUCGGGGCUCGGUGUGGUGAGAGAGGGCGUGUGGAGCCGGUCGGGGCUCGGUGUGGUGAGAGAGGGCGUGUGGAGCCGGUCGGGGCUCGGUGUGACCCACUGUUCACGGCUGCAAAAGGGAGCAGAGCCAGGGACGGAUAAAGGAAAGUCUGCAGAGAGGGUGGCAGUGGACGCCAAAGGCAGAGGGGCCUGAAGGACCAAAGGACUAGGCGGCGCCUGCCCAUUUCCCUUCACAGCACGCCCUUGGGCGGGGCGAAGAACAGAAGUCCUGUAACUCCUUCAGCAAUCGGUAGCCUCACUGCAAGAUGCUGGGUAUUGACAGCAGUGAGACGGGGUUGUGGCCAAAAUACUCUGUUGUACAUGAUAAAUCGUCCACGAUGGUAUUGACCAAUUGCAGAUUUCAUUGUUGGCCAAGACCACAAUACUGCAAACCUUGAGCAAAACCAUGGGACCCAUACAAAGUGCCACUAGUGAUGCUGGAAGUGUUCCCAAGAAGCAAAGUCAUGACAUUGCAAGAAGACGUUGAAUUGCUUGAUAUUAGAUGGAAAUCUGCAGCUGCAGUUGCUCACUAUUUUAGACAGACAAUGCUUCUUGUAAACAGACAAUGUAAACUUAUGGUAUUG